AACGAACGCUGGCGGCAGGCUUAACACAUGCAAGUCGAGCGCCCCGCAAGGGGAGCGGCAGACGGGUGAGUAACGCGUGGGAACGUACCCUUUGCUACGGAAUAGCUCCGGGAAACUGGAAUUAAUACCGUAUGUGCCCUACGGGGGAAAGGUUUAUCGGCAAAGGAUCGGCCCGCGUUGGAUUAGCUAGUUGGUGGGGUAAUGGCCUACCAAGGCGACGAUCCAUAGCUGGUCUGAGAGGAUGAUCAGCCACAUUGGGACUGAGACACGGCCCAAACUCCGAAGGGAGGCAGCAGUGGGGAAUAUUGGACAAUGGGCGCAAGCCUGAUCCAGCCAUGCCGCGUGAGUGAUGAAGGCCUUAGGGUUGUAAAGCUCUUUCACCGGAGAAGAUAAUGACGGUAUCCGGAGAAGAAGCCCCGGCUAACUUCGUGCCAGCAGCCGCCGUAACAC
rnacentral:rRNA from 1 species